rnacentral:lncRNA from 1 species
CUUAAAAGGUAGUCAAGAGGCAGCAGUGAUGGGGAAGUCAGAAGGAGGAGAAACUCCAUUCUGUGUCGCCAUCUUACCCUCAGGUAUUUACUGGGUGUAGCACUCUGCUUGAUGCUAUAUGGAGGGAAGAAACCUAAGGCAGGCCCCUGUGGUAGCAGAGUUGACAGCUCAUUUGGGAAGGUUCCUUCAGGAGAUGAGCCCCCCCCGAGGAUGUUGGCAGGGACAGUGGAGCUGUAAUCGCAGCCCUCACUCCUCUAACCCCCAGAAGGCACAACUCUCACAACUGGCAGCUAAAUCAAAGCAGGAGGGACAGAAAUGACUUAAAAGACCUCCCGGAACAUGGCUGGAGGCCCUGAAGGAUGUUUUUCAAAUAAGCUUUCUUGUGAAGGGCUUAGGGCUCACCUUUAGGUUUCCUUGAAACUGUAACUGAAAGAGAGCUUGGAAAAUCCAAAUGUUUCCAUCUCCUUUCCAAGAGGCAAGUGGACAGAGCCAUGAGCCUGGAGCCAGAGGAAGAAGCCCGAGUCCUGGAUCUGCCUUUUCUAAGCUAUGCAACUUCGGUGGAAUCACUAGUCAAUGAAUCUUCUGAGUGGUCAGUUCCUUCAUCUCUAAAAUCAGGAGUAGGAGAUUACUACCUACCCCCAUCUGCCUUAGAUCUGAGUUAUCAUAAGGAUCAAAUGAGAUAAAGCAGCUGAGGUUCAGAGGACAUAAAUGACUGUUGCGAGGCCCCCACAGCCAGGAGACAGCAAAGCAGGGCUCCUUCGCAGCCAGGCCUGUCUGGCUUCAGAGUCCACAAGCCCGUCCUUGCUUCACAUCCCUUAAAUCCUCCUGAGAGUUCAAGACGGUGAGAGGAAGAGUGCACUUUUAAAAUACACAUGCGCUUUGAAAAGUAUCGAAGAGAAAUUUAAAAGUUACUAUUUACUCCCAAACUCAUCUCCCUGUAGGUUUAAAACCUCCCAGUCAGAAACCUGGACUAAUUAUUAAUUUAAUUUAUCCAUUCCUGUUAAAUGUCCCAAGAGUCUAACCAGCAAAUCUCUUACUAAAUUAU